rnacentral:rRNA from 1 species
UACCAGCACCCCGAGUGGUCGGGACGAUUAUUGGGCCUAAAGCAUCCGUCAGCCGGUCCUACAAGUCUUCCGUUAAAUCCACCUGCUUAACAGAUGGGCUGCGGAAGAUACUAUAGGGCUAGGAGGCGGGAGAGGCAAGCGGUACUCAGUGGGUAGGGGUAAAAUCCUCUGAUCCAUUGAAGACCACCAGUGGCGAAGGCGGCUUGCCAGAACGCGCUCGACGGUGAGGGAUGAAAGCUGGGGGAGCAAACCGG